rnacentral:rRNA from 1 species
GACGAACGCUGGCGGCGUGCCUAAUACAUGCAAGUAGAACGCUGAAGGAGGAGCUUGCUCUUCUGGAUGAGUUGCGAACGGGUGAGUAACGCGUAGGUAACCUGCCUGGUAGCGGGGGAUAACUAUUGGAAACGAUAGCUAAUACCGCAUAACAGUAGAUGUUGCAUGACAUUUACUUAAAAGGUGCAAUUGCAUCACUACCAGAUGGACCUGCGUUGUAUUAGCUAGUUGGUGGGGUAACGGCUCACCAAGGCGACGAUACAUAGCCGACCCGAGAGGGUGAUCGGCCACACUGGGACUGAGACACGGCCCAGACUCCUACGGGAGGCAGCAGUAGGGAAUCUUCGGCAAUGGACGGAAGUCUGACCGAGCAACGCCGCGUGAGUGAAGAAGGUUUUCGGAUCGUAAAGCUCUGUUGUAAGAGAAGAACGAGUGUGAGAGUGGAAAGUUCACACUGUGACGGUAUCUUACCAGAAAGGGACGGCUAACUACGUG